rnacentral:rRNA from 1 species
UACGUAGGGUGCAAGCGUUAAUCGGAAUUACUGGGCGUAAAGCGUGCGCAGGCGGUUAUGUAAGACAGAUGUGAAAUCCCCGGGCUCAACCUGGGAAUUGCGAUGGAGACUGCAAGGCUAGAAUCUGGCAGAGGGGGGUAGAAUUCCACGUGUAGCAGUGAAAUGCGUAGAGAUGUGGAGGAACACCGAUGGCGAAGGCAGCCCCCUGGGUCAAGAUUGACGCUCAUGCACGAAAGCGUGGGGAGCAAACAGG